rnacentral:rRNA from 1 species
UGGGGAAUUUUGGACAAUGGGCGAAAGCCUGAUCCAGCAAUGCCGCGUGUGUGAAGAAGGCCUUCGGGUUGUAAAGCACUUUUGUCCGGAAAGAAAUCCUUGGCUCUAAUACAGUCGGGGGAUGACGGUACCGGAAGAAUAAGCACCGGCUAACUACGUGCCAGCAGCCGCGGUAAUACGUAGGGUGCAAGCGUUAAUCGGAAUUACUGGGCGUAAAGCGUGCGCAGGCGGUUUGCUAAGACCGAUGUGAAAUCCCCGGGCUCAACCUGGGAACUGCAUUGGUGACUGGCAGGCUAGAGUGUGUCAGAGGGGGGUAGAAUUCCACGUGUAGCAGUGAAAUGCGUAGAGAUGUGGAGGAAUACCGAUGGCGAAGGCAGCCCCCUGGGAUAACACUGACGCUCAUGCACGAAAGCGUGGGGAGCAAACAGGAUUAGAUACCCUGGUAGUCCACGCCCUAAACGAUGUCAACUAGUUGUUGGGGAUUCAUUUCCUUAGUAACGUAGCUAACGCGUGAAGUUGACCGCCUGGGGAGUACGGUCGCAAGAUUAAAAGCUUAAAUGAAUUGACGGGGUCAUAGCUGUUUCCUG